AUAUUGCGGGAUAUGGGUCGAAAGACAUUAUGAUAUGGGCCGGAAGGCAUUAUAUGUAGAGGGCCGGAAGGCAUUAUAUGUUGUGGGCCGGAAGGCAUUGUGAUGUGGACCGGAAGGUCAUGGCCUGGAAAGGCGUAUGUGCGUAAUUAGUAUGUUGGCUGAGUCGUAGGGUGAUGUUAUGCUAGUGAUCGGCUAGGUCGGUAUCCUGGUUACGGUGAUCAUAUGCUAUGUGAUCUGUUUGAUCGAUUUGCUGACUGUGAACUGUUAUAUGAUUAUAUGUUAUGUGCACACGGUUGCUUGGACUGGAGUUUGAUCCGAUAUGCCUGGCUGUUCUAUGUUCUGUAUGCUUUUUAUGUUAUGGGCCGGAAGGUAAUAUGUUAUGGGCCGGAAGGCAAUAUGUUAGGGGCCGGAAGGCAAUACGAUUUAGACCGGAAGGUCGUGGUCUGGAAGGGCGUAUGUGUGGUUGGUAUUUUGGGGAUAUCUCACUAAGCUUUCGGGCUUACAGUUGUGGUUUCAUGUUUUUCAGGUUCUUCAGGAGGCUGUGGCAAGGCGAAGGCGUGAUCGUGCCGCUCCUCAUGAUUUCAUAGUAUUGUGAUUCUGGGAAACGUUAAAUGUUUUGUAUUGAAAACCUUUUUGUAAAGAAUUAAUGGAAUCGAGAUGUUUUUGAAAAAGUUAAAAUUGGUUGUAUUUUUCGGUCGUUACAAGUUACUAGUAUUGUAUGUGUAUAACCGAGUAUGCCUUUGCUACUCAAAGGUAUUGAACCAACUGAUGGAACUUAUAUAACUAUACAUAUAUAAGCGUGCAUUUGACAAUAUAAAAGUAUAAAAGAAGUUUUGUAACACCUUUGAAAAGUUGAAUAACUAAGAAAUAAUGACCUUAUAUAACUAUACAUAUAUAAGCGUGCAUUUGACAAUAUAAAAGUAUAAAAGAAGUUUUGUAACACCUUUGAAAAGUUGAAUAACUAAGAAAUAAUGACUUGAAAGCAGUUUGUUUGAUAAGAACAGUUUUAAGUAUAAGAAAACUUUUAUUUGAAACACGAUUCUAACAGCGUUUGAAAGGAAACAUAAAGUAUGUAAGACAGUUUGAUAAAGAGUUUUAACAUGUAAAAACGUUUGAGAAAGUCCUUUGAAGUAAUAUGUUUGGUGAAACAGCUAAACGUGUAGUAAAUCCAUUUGUAUACUAGUCAUAAAUCGCAUAAGAUUGAUUAAAUAAUAAUAUCGAAUACAUAGAAAAGGAUUGAUAUUUUCACACGAUAAUAACCGGGUGUUUAC
rnacentral:lncRNA from 1 species